GGUGUAAAGAAGAUGGUCCGGGAAUAGAAGGCCAAAGAUUUACUCUCAACUAGUCAACAUGCCGCCCAGAAUAAGCAGGUUGUCCAUAUUGAGGUAGUUCAGCCUCUACCUACCAUCAAUGAAGAAAGACAUCAGCAGAAAGAAGUUGGUUCUCAACAUAAAAUGCCAACUCUAGGUGGAACAAUUGAGACCUCUUUAAAAGGUAAGUAGAUAAUGCAAAGUCCAGAGUUGAACCUUAUUAAUUUCCCACGGUUAAGUGUUGGUGUAGUCACAAAAACUACAAGGAAGCCUUUGACUAUGCAAAAGGAGGACAAGAGACCUAGACAAGCUAAACCUAUAGACUUAUGAGGUAAACAAGUUUCUCAAUGACUUAUCUUAUAUGGAAUAUUAGAGGCAGUGACGAAGCCCGUAAUUUUUCCAAGAGUGUUCAAACUUGAACGAAGUAAAAAAAAAAAUUAUCGACAAAAGAGUGUUUCAAUAUAUGUUAUAUACCUCUAAAACUUAAUAUUUUACCUAUAUAUACCGUGUAAUGUUUUUACGAAGGGUGGGCAAUUGACCACCCUUAAGUGAAAGUAGCUUCGUCCAUGAUUAGAGGUGUAAAUAAAGUAUAUAAAUAGAGAGAGCUGAGGAAUUAUAUUACUUCAAAAAAUAUUAAGCUAAUGGGACUGCUGGAAACAGAGUUAAACAAUAUAGGUGUGCAAAAAUUGCUAAAGCUAUUUCUCCUACAUGGAUAUACUUAGUAACUAUUCCUUUGCUGCUAAUGGAAGGAUUUGGCUGAUGUGGGGUCAAGGCUUAUUUAACGUAAUAGAGCUGAACAUGGAAGCUCAACUUAUCAAUUGUGAAGUUAGAGACUUAACCUCUAUUUUUUAAUGUGUCUUGAUAGUUGCAUAUGGCUUCAACACUAUGGAGGAAAGGAAAUCUUUAUGGGACAGUCUUCAAACUAUUUCACACACUAUUAAUCAUCCAUGGUUAGUGUGUGGGGAUUUCAACACAAUAACUGCCACUGAUAGAAUGAGUUGUAGUCCAGUGAGUUUUAAUUAAGUAAAUGAUUUUUCAGACUAUAUUAUUGUUACUAUUCUAAGUGAAUUACAAUGGAAAGGAGAAUUCUUCACUUGGACAAAUAAGCAAUAGGGAGCUGAUAGAGUUUGGAGAUAAGCAACAGGAAGCUGAUAGCGUUAGGAGUGAAAUUGUAGAGCAUUUGACAAGUGCGAUUGGAUAAUAUUGUGAGGCCAUAUUGUCUUAGAGUAUGAUCUCCCUAAUAUAUUAGAUCAUGCCCAACGUUGCCGUCUUUAAAAAUUACUAAUCAUAGUAUUAGAGUACCAUUCCGAUUAUUCAAUAUAUGGAGUGAAUAUGAUCAAUUCUUAAAGAUGAUUGAUACCAUCUGGAAGCUUUAACUAUCUAGAGAUCCAAUGCAGAACGUGUGGAACAAGCUUAAGGCCCUUAGAGCAGCAUUCAUAUAACUGAACCAAAGAGAAUUCCAAUCUACUUUACUGAGAAUUGAUCAAGCUAGAGAUGAUCUAAAAUGCGUUGAAGCAGCACUUGCAGCAGUUAUGAUGGUUCAUUUGUGAGCAACGAAAAAGAAGCUAUGAAGAACCUUGAUAAAUGGAUCCUACUUGAAGAGAGUGUACAAAGACAAAAGUCUAAUCCCAAUGAAUCCACGUUGUACCCUAUUUUGUACUAGUCAAAACACAAUACAACUAAUGGUCCUUCUGAAGUUGAUAAAAGAGAGUCAUCACCUAAUAUUUUAAGGUAUAUUACAAUACAUAUAGGUUUAUGAGAUUAUUAUUCUAAUGAUCUGUUAACCGGUGAGACUUGGGUAAGGGUUCUAGUUAUUCUAAGGAAAAGGUGUUAGGUAUCCCUUAAAAUCUAACUGAGGUGGCUCCUUAAACUUAAACCAGGUCUGGGGAAAGAAAAAUCUAUAUUCUUCUUAGUUAGUGAUUAAAGUGGUUAAGUAAGAUUUGUAAAAAAUAUUUUGAAACCUUGUUUGAAAAACUCAUUAUUUCGGGAUAGGUUGUGUAUUCCAUUUGAAAAGAGAGAUAUUAUUUGUGAGGUUGUGUAACUUGUAAAGCAAAAGAUUUACCCUUUAGAAAUAUGUCUCAAGUUGGAAUACCUUUAUCUUUGAAGACUGUUUUAGCGAGAAAUGCUCGUAUUUAAAAAACUCGUCGAUGCCCGUUCUUAUAAACUUGAUUGUGUGACUAUCUUUAUUUUUUAAAAUAGCCUAUUAUGGUAUGUGAUCUGCUUUGAAGCUUUCUCAAGAAGUGUUGGUUUUCGUUCUCAAGUCUGCUACAUACUUAAAGUUGAAAAUCAUUAGUGAUAAACGUGAGUAAACUAUUUAUUUAUUGAAAGAACUAGUUUUAAAACUGUUAAGAAGCUCAAGUAUGCUAAAGUAACGAAAAGCAGGUGACUUUUUAUAAUCAUAUUCGAUCCUCCUUUUACCUAAAAGCCAUGGUUUGCCAAUGUUUCAUAAGAAAAACAUCAAACAACAAUCUAUAGCAAUGUUAGUUUCCAAAUAUAUAUAUAUAUAUAUAUAUAUAUGUCACGACCCAAACCGACCCGGUCGUGAUGGCGUCUAACAUUAAACUAGGAAAACCGACACAUUCCCAAUUUAAUCCACAUUUCAUUUAGAACUUAAGAAAAACCAUUUUUCAACUGAAAUCCGAUAAAAGUUAUGAAGUCAAAAUCACACAAAGCGGAAAAAUACAAGCUCGACCUCGGGUGUCACUAAGUCAUGAGCCAUGCUACAAUAGCUUUGAAACAUGACAAGACCAAAUAGUCUGAAAAUAGCAACAAUAUACUAAUAGGAAGAUAGGGAUGGAGAAAAACGGAACUGCGAAUCGACGGGCAGCUACCUCGCUGUCUCCAUGAAUUCCGCGACCGGAAUAGUCAACAACCGCUACCGUGCCCUGAGAUACCUGGAUCUGCACACGUGAGUACACUAACUAAGUAAGUAACAAAUCCAAACUAUGGACUGACAGGUAGUGACGAACCAAACCUCAACAAGUAAUACAUUUAAAUAGUACAGAAAAGUAUGCAUGCUUGCAGUUCAAGUAUAAAACUCAAUAGUAAAUAAAUACCAUCUGAACAGAACAGAGUAUAAAGCUCAGCAAAUCUCUAUGUACCAAUGUAUAAAAUGCAUAAAGGAAUGUACCGUGUACCACCACUAACAAGUGCUCAACCACUCGGUACUGUAUAUGGACAUCCAGCCUAGGGAAGAUCCAUCCCGGAAUAUAUACAUAUCACUGAGCGCAGUCAUCCAGUACCGAGGAAGGCCAUUCUAGCCCUAUGGAGAAGAUCCAUCUCUAGGUAUAAAUACUUCGGACAAGAUCCAUGUCCAGGGAAGAUCCAUCCCUCAAUAACAUCAACUGCACUCACUGGGGUAUAAAGACUCCAGAGGGGUUCCUUUCAGCCCAAGCGAUAUAACAAGCUAACGAAGGCAUAAUCAAUAUCCCGUUGCGGCGUGCAGCCCGAUCCCACACUAUCACUCAAUAUCAAGUUCUCGACCUCACUUAGUCAUGACUCUCCAGUCUCACAUACACGGGCUCAAAAUGUCAUGAUACUAUCCCGAACAAUGAUAUGAUCUGUGAAAUAACAAUAAUUGAGACUGAGAUAUGAUAUAAUAUGCAUGAACAGAGCUGAGUAUAGAAUAUCAAUGAAGCUAAUUAUAUGACAGCAAAAAACGACCUCUCGGACCUCAACAGUAUCGGCGUGAAGCCUUAACAUGAUAAUUAUCAUGAUUUACAGCUCAUUAACUUAAUCACAUAAUCACAACACAGAUAUCAGCAAGAAAGAGUCACUAAGCGGUGCCAUGGAAUGAUCCAAGCUAUGAUUCUCACGGUGCACGCCCACACGCUCGUCACUUGGCAUUUGCGUCACCUCAAUAGUAAUCAUAGAACACAUAUUUCGGGGUUUCGAACCCUCAGAACCAAGUUUGAAAGUGUUACUUAUCUCAAAUUAAGCCAUAACUCUAGCCCGCGAUGCCCUUGCCUCUCGAUUCGACCUCCAAAUGCUCUGAUUCUAACCAAAAAUCAGUAUACAUCAUUAAAACACACUAAAGGAACAAAACCCAAGCAAAUAUAAUCAAAUUAACUCAAAAAUGCUAAAAUUGGCCAAACCCGCCCCCGAGCCCACAUCUCAGAAGUCGAUAAAAAUUACAUCUCUAGAAUUCUUAUCCUCCCACGAGUCCAUACAUACCAAAAAUAUCGAAAUCGGACCUCAAAUGGCCUCUCUAAUCUCCACACAAAGCUCUCCAAAACUCAAGCCCUAGCCUUCCAUUUUAACCCUUAAAUCCCACUAAUUUCAUGUCUAAUUAGUUAGAAAUCACAAUAUAAUCGAGUAUUGAGUUUAAAAACCUUACCUCCAACUGUUACCCCUUGAAUCCCUCUUCAAUUCCUCUCAAAAAGCUCCAAAACCGAACACAAAUGGUGGAAAAAUGACCAAAUUUCGCGAAAGCCUCUAUUUAUACCUUCUGCCCAAUCGCACCUGCGGUUCCAAUGUCGCAUCUGCGGUCCGCACCUGCGGAUCAAUCUCUGCUUCUGUGGAUUUUCACUUAAAAUCCCUCAUCCGCACCUGCGAUCAACCUUCCGCACCUGCAGGCUCGCAGGUGCAGCUCACCUUCCGCUUCUGCGAUGCCCAAACUGCAUCUGCGGUAUUUUCCCGCUUCUACACUCAUCGCACCUGCGGUCCCCUAUCUGCAGGUGCGGAAAUAACAGAAGCAGUGAAAAUUCUGCAACUCCAAAUCAACUCCAAACUUUCCGUCAACCACCCAAAUCUAUCCCGAGGCCCUCAGGACCUCAACUAAAUACCCAAACAAGUCAUAUAUCAUCAUUCAAACUUAUUCCAAUCUUUGGAACACUCAAAACAACAUCAAAAUAUCAAAUCAUCCUCGGAUUCAAGCCUAAGGAUUUCCAAACUUUUGAAUUCCGCAACCGAUCCAUGUCACACCCCUUUUUUUAAUCCAAACUUCACUAACCCCUGCAUAAAUAAAUAAAAGGAUUUUGCAAAGCUCAAAAGGGUUUUUCAAUUUUGAAAGUGACAAAAAUUUGUGUUCAAAAGGAGAUAAUUCAGGGUCGCCACCUGACGUUUGAUUUCGGUGUGUCAGGUCACCGUUUUUCUAAACUAAUUUUUUUCCUUUUGAAACACUUGAAACUCCAAAACUAAGUCUGCACUAGAGAUUCGGAUAAGGGGGUUCAUUUGACUCGGGGAGAAGGUGUUAGGCACUCCCCAAGUCCCGUAACUAGUACGGUUGUGUACUCCUAGUUGGAUUUUAAAAUAUUCAAAUUGAGGUAAAAUCACAAAAAAAACAAAGUAAACAUACAUGAGGCUCGAGGUCGUCCCCACCAAAUAAAAGAAAAAAAAUAAAAUGAAAUAAGUCUUGCUAGCCUAUACUACGCCUCCAUUGAUGUUGCCAUGACCUCCAUUUACAUUUACUUCAGGGCAUUCCCCUGUUUAAAAUAUAUACAAAUACUUCGGGGCAUUCCCUUGAUAAAUUUACCUAUGGAACGACCUUUCGCCUCAAACGAACAAAUAUCCUAAAGAUUGCCUACCCCGAUGUGGUCGGCCUAGUCAUGCUCCUAGCGGUCCAACCAACGAUAGUGAGAAUAAAGAACGACAAAAUUAUAUCAAACUCAAUCUCAGAACAUACGGCAGGCCAAAACUCACAUGUAAUCCUUAGCUUUCUCCAAUGUAAAUGAUUUUAUAUUUCCCUCUAUGUAUAGUGUAAAAGGGAGCAAAAUCAUCGCAGCCAUUGAAGCCAUAUAUAAUAACAGAUUCAUCAAUUGAAAUUUCCUGGCUUCAGAUGUUAAAGGCAACCUAAAUCCAACUCCCUUUUUAACAUAACCCAAUCCCAUAUUUCAUGACAAAUUUCAACACAGGCUAGUUCGUGUAAGUCCUAACCAAUUGAUGUGAUCAGGAUUAACCAAGCAAAAUAUGAUUAACAUGUAUCAAACAAACAUUUCAACACAAACAACACAUAAGUUUUAAAGAAUAUAAGUUGAGCGGAGAACUAAAGAAUCGGACCUGGAAGAGGGAGUUUCAAUCAAUUCGAUGUUGGUAAAAUAAUACACUUGAAGGCGGCAACUAAAGCUCAAUGAACAGAAGCGUAUUCCACCAAAUGAGCACCAAAACAAACACUUCAAAACCCGACGGCAUUCAACGAGCACCCACGAAUUCGACACCUUCACUCAUUUGAAUUCCAUCACUUCGAAACUCAAAUCGAAAUCAAACAAAUCAACCGAGAAAUUUGCUAAGAUUCUGUCCAGAACUUCCUCUCGAUCUCUGUCUAUGGAAACGAGAAAUGGGAAGGUACGCUGGCCGAAAAUUGGAGAGAGGAGGUCGUUCUCUUCCUUGUGUCCUAAUGUUGAAGAAGCAGGGGGUCUUUUGUGUGAGGGUAACAGUGGGGAUCCGUUCAUAGGUGUUCAAGGCUAGAAGAGGAAGAAGCCACGACUAAAGGAGUGGUCUGUUCUGGCUAGUGUUUGAAUAAGAAGAAGUUGGUGGGGGUCGCUGUUGUGCUUGGGGUCUAGAGUGAGAGCUCACACGGAGAUUAAUGGAGGUGAGGGAAUAGUGGUUAGUAUUGUUAGUGGCGAGGGAGUGUCCAGUGGCGUUGGAGGUGGUCCAGCAGCUAAAGGUCAUUUUAAGGCUUCUGUUCAGUCCAGGAAGAAGGAGGAGCUGUGUGUUUUUGUCUCCUCCAGAAGAUGAUCGAUUAGGGGGGGGGGGGGUCUUCACGAUAUAUCUCUUCUCCAGGUUCUUUAGGUCUUUUUAGAUUGGGUUGGGUCAGGAAAUGAGUAUUGGGUAUUGGGCUUGGAUUUAUGGGCUAAGG
rnacentral:lncRNA from 1 species